CUUUGCUCCGGUCGCCGUCGCUGCUUCCUAUGCCUCCCGUCGGCGUCGCUGGAUCUUUGCUUUGUCGCCGUCGCUGCUUACUCUGAGCCCGUCGCAGUCACCAUAAUCUGCAGGUAUGAUUGGAGAGAAACUGAAAGAAGAAGACAUAAA